AUAGCGUAUAUUAAAGUUGUUGCAGUUAAAAAGCUCGUAGUUGAACCUUGGGCCUGGCUGGCCGGUCCGCCUCACCGCGUGCACUGGUCCGGCCGGGCCUUUCCUUCUGGCUAGCCACAUGCCCUUCACUGGGUGUGUCGGGGAACCAGGACUUUUACUUUGAAAAAAUUAGAGUGUUCAAAGCAGGCCUAUGCUCGAAUACAUUAGCAUGGAAUAAUAGAAUAGGACGUGUGGUUCUAUUUUGUUGGUUUCUAGAGUCGCCGUAAUGAUUAAUAGGGAUAGUUGGGGGCAUUAGUAUUCAGUUGCUAGAGGUGAAAUUCUUGGAUUUACUGAAGACUAACUACUG
rnacentral:rRNA from 1 species